GCGGCGGUGGCGGAAUUGGUAGACGCGCUAGCUUCAGGUGCUAGUGUCCGAAAGGACGUGAGGGUUCAAGUCCCUCCCCCCGCACCA
rnacentral:tRNA from 33 species